CGCCUGGGGAGUACGGCCGCAAGGUUAAAACUCAAAUGAAUUGACGGGGGCCCGCACAAGCGGUGGAGCAUGUGGUUUAAUUCGACGCAACGCGAAGAACCUUACCUGGCCUUGACAUCCAGAGAGCUUUCCAGAGAUGGAUUGGUGCCUUCGGGAACUCUGAGUCAGGUGCUGCAUGGCCGUCGUCAGCUCGUGUCGUGAGAUGUUGGGUUAAGUCCCGUAACGAGCGCAACCCCUAUCCCUGGUUGCUAGCAGGUAGUGCUGAGAACUCCAGGGAGACUGCCGGUGACAAACCGGAGGAAGGUGGGGAUGACGUCAGGUCAUCAUGGCCCUUACGGCCAGGGCUACACACGUGCUACAAUGGCGCGUACAGAGGGCUGCCAACUCGCGAGAGUGAGCCAAUCCCUUAAAACGCGUCGUAGUCCGGAUCGGAGUCUGCAACUCGACUCCGUGAAGUCGGAAUCGCUAGUAAUCGCGAAUCAGAAUGUCGCGGUGAAUACGUUCCCGGGCCUUGUACACACCGCCCGUCACACCAUGGGAGUGGAUUGCACCAGAAGUAGUUAGUCUAACCUUCGGGAGGACGAUUACCACGGUGUGGUUCAUGACUGGGGUGAAGUCGUAACAAGGUAACCGUA
rnacentral:rRNA from 1 species